UACGUAGGUGGCAAGCGUUGUCCGGAUUUACUGGGCGUAAAGAGCGCGCAGGCGGUCGUUCAAGUCGCGUGUGAAAGCCCCCGGCUCAACUGGGGAGGGUCACGCGAUACUGAUCGACUGGAAGGCAGGAGAGGGUAGUGGAAUUCCCGGUGUAGUGGUGAAAUGCGUAGAUAUCGGAAGGAACGCCGGUGGCGAAAGCGAUCGACUGGACCUCUUCUGACGCUGAGGCGCGAAAGCCAGGGGAGCAAACGGG
rnacentral:rRNA from 1 species